CACGUAGGGGGCGAGCGUUGUCCGGAUUUAUUGGGCGUAAAGAGCUCGUAGGCGGCUCAGUAAGUCGGGUGUGAAAACUCCAGGCUCAACCUGGAGACGCCACCUGAUACUGCUGUGGCUAGAGUCCGGUAGGGGAGCAUGGAAUUCCUGGUGUAGCGGUGAAAUGCGCAGAUAUCAGGAGGAACACCGAUGGCGAAGGCAGGUCUCUGGGCCACUACUGACGCUGAGAAGCGAAAGCAUGGGGAGCGAACAGG
rnacentral:rRNA from 1 species